rnacentral:rRNA from 1 species
UACGUAGGGUGCAAGCGUUAAUCGGAAUUACUGGGCGUAAAGCGUGCGCAGGCGGUGAUGUAAGACAGAUGUGAAAUCCCCGGGCUCAACCUGGGAACUGCAUUUGUGACUGUACGGCUAGAGUGCGGCAGAGGGGGAUGGAAUUCCGCGUGUAGCAGUGAAAUGCGUAGAUAUGCGGAGGAACACCGAUGGCGAAGGCAAUCCCCUGGGCCUGCACUGACACUCAUGCACGAAAGCGUGGGGAGCAAACAGG